GUUAGGAAUAUUGGUCAAUGGACGAGAGUCUGAACCAGCCAAGUCGCGUGAAGGAAGACGGUUCUAUGAAUUGUAAACUUCUUUUGUGCAGGAAUAAAGUGGGUUACGUGUAACCUUUUGUAUGUACUGUACGAAUAAGGAUCGGCUAACUCCGUGCCAGCAGCCGCGGUAAUACGGAGGAUCCGAGCGUUAUCCGGAUUUAUUGGGUUUAAAGGGUGCGUAGGUGGAUUGAUAAGUCAGCGGUGAAAGUUUGCAGCUUAACUGUAAAAUUGCCGUUGAAACUGUCGGUCUUGAGUGCAAAUGAGGUAGGCGGAAUGUGUUGUGUAGCGGUGAAAUGCUUAGAUAUAACACAGAACUCCGAUUGCGAAGGCAGCUUACUGGGAUGCAACUGACACUGAUGCACGAAAGCGUGGGUAUCAAACAGGAUUAGAAACCCCAGUAGUCC
rnacentral:rRNA from 1 species